UACGAAGGGGGCUAGCGUUGCUCGGAAUGACUGGGCGUAAAGGGCGCGUAGGCGGCCUGGACAGUCGGAUGUGAAAUUCCUGGGCUCAACCUGGGGGCUGCAUCCGAGACGUUUGGGCUAGAGUGGGGAAGAGGGUCGUGGAAUUCCCAGUGUAGAGGUGAAAUUCGUAGAUAUUGGGAAGAACACCGGUGGCGAAGGCGGCGACCUGGUCCUUGACUGACGCUGAGGCGCGAAAGCGUGGGGAGCAAACAGG
rnacentral:rRNA from 1 species